rnacentral:rRNA from 1 species
UACAGAGGCCACAAGCGUUAGGCGGAAUCACUGGGCUUAAAGCGUGUGUAGGCGGAUCGUUAAGUACCUUGUGAAAUCCCACGGCUCAACCGUGGAACGGCUGGGUAUACUCGCGGUCUUGGGCCAUUCAGGGGCGACUGGAACAAGCGGUGGAGCGGUGAAAUGCGUAGAUAUCGCUUGGAACGCCGAAGGUGAAAACAGGUCGCUGGGGAUGUGCCGACGCUGAGACACGAAAGCCAGGGGAGCAAACGGG